rnacentral:lncRNA from 1 species
GUGCUGGUGAUUUGGGGGCUCCCCCAGCUCCCUGAUUCCCUCCCUGCUGCUCCAGGGCGAGGAGCUCAGCGAGGCCAACGUGCGGCUCAGCCUGCUGGAGAAGAAGCUGGACAGCGCCUCCAAGGACGCCGAUGACCGCGUGGAAAAGAUCCAGACCAAGCUGGACGAGACCCAGACCCUGCUCAAAAAGAAGGAGAAGGAGUUUGAGGAGACCAUGGACGCUCUCCAGGCUGACAUCGACCAGCUGGAGUCGGAGAAGGUGGAGCUGAAGCAGCGCCUGAACAACCAGUCCAAGAGGACGAUCGAGGGGCUGCGGGGGGGCGCCGGCCUCGGGCGUGGCCUCCAUCGUGUCCGGCAUCGCCGGAGGCGUUGGUGCCGGGCAGGUGCCGGGAGGCGGCUCCGGACCCGUGCAGGUGAAGGACUCGCCCCUCCUGCUGCAGCAGAUCGACGCCCUGCAGCUCUCCCUCAAACACCUCAAGAACGAGAACAACCUGCUCAAGGUCGGGGGGAACGGGAUGGGAUCCAUGUGGGAUGGGAUCCCCCUGGGAUGGGAUCCAUGUGGGAUGGGAUUCCCAUGUAGGAUGGGAUCCCCAUGUAGGAUGGGAUCCAUGUGGGAUGGGAUCCCCAUGGGAUGGGAUCCAUGUGGG